GAUUGUAGUCUGCAACCCGACUACAUGAAGCUGGAAUCGCUAGUAAUCGCGGAUCAGAAUGCCGCGGUGAAUACGUUCCCGGGCCUUGUACACACCGCCCGUCACACCAUGGGAGUUUGUAACGCCCAAAGUCGGUGGCCUAACCUUUAUGGAGGGAGCCGCCUAAGGCGGGACAGAUGACUGGGGUGAAGUCGUAACAAGGUAUC
rnacentral:rRNA from 1 species